AACGUAGGAGACAAACGUUAUCCGGAGUUACUGGGCGUAAAGGGGCGUGUAGGUGGUUUCGUAAGUCUGGCGUGAAAUAUCUCGGCUUAACCGAGGCAGGUCGUCGGAUACUGCGGAACAGAGGACGGUAGGAGGCGUGUGGAAUUCCGGGUGUAGUGGUGAAAUGCGUAGAGAUCCGGAGGAACACCAGUGGCGAAGGCGACACGCUGGGCCGUACCUGACACUGAUGCGCGACAGCAUGGGGAGCAAAC
rnacentral:rRNA from 1 species